GGGUAUAGACCCGAAACCCGGUGAUCUAGCCAUGGGCAGGUUGAAGGUUGGGUAACACUAACUGGAGGACCGAACCGACUAAUGUUGAAAAAUUAGCGGAUGACUUGUGGCUGGGGGUGAAAGGCCAAUCAAACCGGGAGAUAGCUGGUUCUCCCCGAAAGCUAUUUAGGUAGCGCCUCGUGAAUUCAUCUCCGGGGGUAGAGCACUGUUUCGGCAAGGGGGUCAUCCCGACUUACCAACCCGAUGCAAACUGCGAAUACCGGAGAAUGUUAUCACGGGAGACACACGGCGGGUGCUAACGUCCGUCGUGAAGAGGGAAACAACCCAGACCGCCAGCUAAGGUCCCAAAGUCAUGGUUAAGUGGGAAACGAUGUGGGAAGGCCCAGACAGCCAGGAUGUUGGCUUAGAAGCAGCCAUCAUUUAAAGAAAGCGUAAUAGCUCACUGGUCGAGUCGGCCUGCGCGGAAGAUGUAACGGGGCUAAACCAUGCACCGAAGCUGCGGCAGCGACGCUGAUGCGUUGUUGGGUAGGGGAGCGUUCUGUAAGCCUGCGAAGGUGUGCUGUGAGGCAUGCUGGAGGUAUCAGAAGUGCGAAUGCUGACAUAAGUAACGAUAAAGCGGGUGAAAAGCCCGCUCGCCGGAAGACCAAGGGUUCCUGUCCAACGUUAAUCGGGGCAGGGUGAGUCGACCCCUAAGGCGAGGCCGAAAGGCGUAGUCGAUGGGAAACAGGUUAAUAUUCCUGUACUUGGUGUUACUGCGAAGGGGGGACGGAGAAGGCUAUGUUGGCCGGGCGACGGUUGUCCCGGUUUAAGCGUGUAGGCUGGUUUUCCAGGCAAAUCCGGAAAAUCAAGGCUGAGGCGUGAUGACGAGGCACUACGGUGCUGAAGCAACAAAUGCCCUGCUUCCAGGAAAAGCCUCUAAGCAUCAGGUAACAUCAAAUCGUACCCCAAACCGACACAGGUGGUCAGGUAGAGAAUACCAAGGCGCUUGAGAGAACUCGGGUGAAGGAACUAGGCAAAAUGGUGCCGUAACUUCGGGAGAAGGCACGCUGAUAUGUAGGUGAAGUCCCUCGCGGAUGGAGCUGAAAUCAGUCGAAGAUACCAGCUGGCUGCAACUGUUUAUUAAAAACACAGCACUGUGCAAACACGAAAGUGGACGUAUACGGUGUGACGCCUGCCCGGUGCCGGAAGGUUAAUUGAUGGGGUUAGCGCAAGCGAAGCUCUUGAUCGAAGCCCCGGUAAACGGCGGCCGUAACUAUAACGGUCCUAAGGUAGCGAAAUUCCUUGUCGGGUAAGUUCCGACCUGCACGAAUGGCGUAAUGAUGGCCAGGCUGUCUCCACCCGAGACUCAGUGAAAUUGAACUCGCUGUGAAGAUGCAGUGUACCCGCGGCAAGACGGAAAGACCCCGUGAACCUUUACUAUAGCUUGACACUGAACAUUGAGCCUUGAUGUGUAGGAUAGGUGGGAGGCUUUGAAGUGUGGACGCCAGUCUGCAUGGAGCCGACCUUGAAAUACCACCCUUUAAUGUUUGAUGUUCUAACGUUGACCCGUAAUCCGGGUUGCGGACAGUGUCUGGUGGGUAGUUUGACUGGGGCGGUCUCCUCCUAAAGAGUAACGGAGGAGCACGAAGGUUGGCUAAUCCUGGUCGGACAUCAGGAGGUUAGUGCAAUGGCAUAAGCCAGCUUGACUGCGAGCGUGACGGCGCGAGCAGGUGCGAAAGCAGGUCAUAGUGAUCCGGUGGUUCUGAAUGGAAGGGCCAUCGCUCAACGGAUAAAAGGUACUCCGGGGAUAACAGGCUGAUACCGCCCAAGAGUUCAUAUCGACGGCGGUGUUUGGCACCUCGAUGUCGGCUCAUCACAUCCUGGGGCUGAAGUAGGUCCCAAGGGUAUGGCUGUUCGCCAUUUAAAGUGGUACGCGAGCUGGGUUUAGAACGUCGUGAGACAGUUCGGUCCCUAUCUGCCGUGGGCGCUGGAGAACUGAGGGGGGCUGCUCCUAGUACGAGAGGACCGGAGUGGACGCAUCACUGGUGUUCGG
rnacentral:rRNA from 1 species